AUUGAACGCUGGCGGCAUGCCUUACACAUGCAAGUCGAACGGUAACACGUCUUCGGAUGCUGACGAAUGUUGGACGGGGGAGUAAUACUAAGGAAUGUGUCCGCUCGCGGGGGAUCACGGAGCGAUAGCUUUGCUAAUACCUCAUACGAUCUACGGAUGUAAACAGGAGAGCGCAAGGCCUAACGCGGGCGUAGCGGCCGAUGGCAGAUUAGGUAGUUGGUGGGUUAAUAGCUUACCAAGCCGACGAUUUGUAGCUGGUCUGAGAGGACGACCGGCCACACUGGAACUGAGACACGGCCCAGACUCCUACGGGAGGCAGCAGUAGGGAAUUUUGGACAAUGGGCGAAAGCCUGAUCCAGCCAUGCCGCGUGCAGGAUGAAGGCCUUCGGAUUGUAAACUGCUUUUGUACGGAACGAAAAGACGCUUACGAAUAAAGAGGGUCCAUGACGGUACCGUAACAAUAAGCACCGGCUAACUACGUG
rnacentral:rRNA from 1 species